GGUUAGAAUUUGAAUUUAUGAUCAGAAAGUAACGUCUUAGUUACUACAAAGAAAAAGUAAAGAUUGAGGAUGUGUGCACCAUGUUUUCAAUCCCUAAAAGCACAACCUCUUACUGAAAGCAAUCACUGACUUCAUUAAUUGAUACCAAAUUGUUCAAGAUGGAUAAAACAGUGUUGCCAAGGUAAUUUAACUACAGUUACAAUACACCAUUGUUUUUAAGCAACUGUGGGUUUGAGAGAAAAGGCACAAAGGUACAUGUCUGAGUACAAUUUAGAGAACAACAAAAGGAACCUUGAUAUUGUCAUAGAAUAUAUUCACUACAAAGGACAUAGGAGGUGGGUGGGAUAAAAGCAUGAAAAAUAUUGUGCUCUGGAAAAAUUUUGGUUUGUACCAUCAUAAUAUAUCCCAUUGCUCAUUAGCAUUCUCUUUUGAUAUAUGAUUUUUUACCAUGAAGAAAGAACAAUAUUUACUAGGAUGAUUGUAAGUUAUAUUUUUAAUUUAUCACCAAGAUUGUACCUGUACAAUAUAUCCAUCUUUUUUUUUUUUUAAUUUUGGCUAAGGGAUAAAAAAGACAUUGGAAUAUCUUAAUAUAUUAAUACAUAUAUAACAUGAAUGUAUAUGAAUAUCAAUGUAUUAACUAGAUAGUCAAUGUGUUAAAAAUAGAUUAUGACUAUAUUUCAAAAUAUUCUAAUUGCAUUUCUUUAUGCAUUUUCAGAUAUAAAACACCUUAUAGAUUUUUUUCUGUACCAUCUUCAGUGUUACUGUCUGGUUUUCCAGUUGUCCUUUCUGAGACUUACUGCAUAUGGCUACCUCCUUUAUGGACUCCUUAGCCAAGCUUGCUUUCUUCUUGUCAAGGAUGCAUGGGC
rnacentral:lncRNA from 1 species